CCUACGGGAGACAGCAGUGGGGAAUAUUGCACAAUGGGGGAAACCCUGAUGCAGCGACGCCGCGUGAGUGAAGAAGUAAUUCGUUAUGUAAAGCUCUAGCAGCAGGGAAGAAAAUGACGGUACCUGAGUAAGAAGCCCCGGCUAACUACGUGCCAGCAGCCGCGGUAAUACGUAGGGGGCAAGCGUUAUCCGGAUUUACUGGGUGGAAAGGGAGCGUAGACGGCAGUGCAAGUCUGGAGUGAAAGGCGGGGGCUCAACCCCCGGACUGCUCUGGAAACUGUACGGCUGGAGUGCAGGAGAGGUAGGUGGAAUUCCUAGUGUAGCGGUGAAAUGCGUAGAUAUUAGGAGGAACACCAGUGGCGAAGGCGGCUUACUGGACUGUAACUGACGUUGAGGCUCGAAAGCGUGGGGAGCAAACAGGAUUAGAUACCCGAGUAGUC
rnacentral:rRNA from 1 species